rnacentral:lncRNA from 7 species
CUGGCAUACAAUGUGACUCUACAAUGCUCUUAUAUUUUGCCUUCACCUUCAUUUAGAAAGAGCCCUACGGUUUGGAUAAUUUAUUCCAAUGGAACAAGAACACAGGCUUUUGAACUUUCGGUGAAACUGCAUUACCUCAACGUACACCUUCUAACGAGUUAGCAAAAUGAUGUUCCAUGGGACCAUGAAAAUGUUGUGUGGAUUCUGAGUUGUCAUAAUUGAGGACCAGCACCAUAUGACAAUUGAAACCUCAUCACAGAGCCAGAAGCUCAAUCGUAAGCAUCGAUCAUCAUUUUGUGCGGUCAAAGUGUCAAACGAUCAAGUAAUAUACCAUGCUACCAAAAAAACGUUCUUAUGAUUGUCCAUAGAUCUUGUGAUCGCGUCAUCGUUAUACUAUAUUGACAUAUGACAGAAGGAUAAUAACUCUUAGGGAACCACUUGGCACUUUGUGGUGGCUAUGUGUGAUGAUCCUUGACCAAUGAUAAUAAUGUUAACACCCUCCAAUGAUGCACAGAUAGACAGACCACAGGUCCACCACUAACACAUCUCCUAGUUUGAGAAGAUAAU